rnacentral:rRNA from 1 species
AAAAGACGGUCCCAGUUCGAAUUGAAGGCUGAAAUUCGCCUUCAUGAAGUCGGAAUUGCUAGUAAUGGCAGGUCAGCAUACUGCCGUGAAUACGUUCCCGGGCCUUGUACACACCGCCCGUCACACCAUGAGAGUUGGAGAUACCCGAAGCCUGUGAGCUAACUUUUAGAGGCAGCAGUCGAAGGUAGAAUCAAUGAUUGGGGUGAAGUCGUAACAAGGUACC